GAGAGUAGGCGCAGGUGGUUGCAGAUCAGUCAUCAAGACUGGUUUGAGGAAAGUCCGGACUCCCGAAAGACCAAACUUGCUGGAUAACGUCCAGUGCGAGCGAUCGUGAGGAUAGUGCCACAGAAAGAUACCGCCAGGGCUAGGGACUGGGGACUAGGGACUAGGGACUGGGUAAGAAAUUUCCCAAUCCCAAUCCCCAAUACCUAAUCCCUGGUAAGGGUGCAAAGGUGCGGUAAGAGCGCACCAGCAACGUCGAGAGGCGUUGGCUCGGUAAACCCCGGUUGGGAGCAAGGCCGGAGGAACUACGGUUGGUCUUUUACCAGUUCCAGUAAAUGAGCGCCGCUAGAGGUGUUUGGUAACAAACAUCCCAGAUAGAUAACCGCCCUCGCAAGAGAACAGAAUCCGGCUUAUGUCCUGCUCUCUCUU
rnacentral:RNase_P_RNA from 1 species